rnacentral:lncRNA from 1 species
UCUGUGUUCUCACUGGACAAGUGCUGACUCUCUUUCUCCUUUUAUGCGUGGUUGUUACCCAGGAAAGACCAUCCUACUAGGAGAUCUGUGCAUUCAGAAGCCCAUGCAAGCAGAUGGAAACAGCAGCUGCCAAGCACACUACACCUCCCAGCCUGCAAUAACAAUCACACAUCACCUCACCUCUGGCCCACACUUGGCCUUCUGCUGCUGCAGCAUGACAAACCACUGCACACCAUCACCUCUUGUGUCCCCAGCUCAGCAGAAAGAUAAGAGGCAAACAACGGAACAUCUUCCAGACAGGGACCAGGAUCCUGACAGCCUCAUCAGGCAGACUCCCAUUGAAGCCAGCUAGAGCUUUGCCUGAGCUAGAAUUUGGCUCUUGGUGAAUUAUCCAACACAAUCCAUUGACUCUUUAACCCAUAAAUUGUCAAACUCAAUUAUUUCCAGCAAAGCAGAUGACUGAACACAAAUAACCUGGAAGAUAAGGUACUCUGGCUCCAGUUUUAAGUAAAAUUAAAGUUUGCUAAACACAAGCGUUACAGUUACAUAAAUAACAAAAGAAGAAAUCACCACUGAAGCCAAAGACUGUUUUUCUGCAAAAACAGAGAGGAUCAAUUUCUCCAGUUUUGUAUUACCAAACUUGGCAGUAAUUCACAUUUGAAGUAUAAUGAUGUCAUCUGGUUGGCCUUUUC